UACGUAGGGUGCAAGCGUUGUCCGGAAUUAUUGGGCGUAAAGAGCUCGUAGGCGGUUUGUCGCGUCGAAUGUGAAAACCCGGGGCUCAACCCCGGGCCUGCAUUCGAUACGGGCAGACUAGAGUGCGGUAGGGGAGACUGGAAUUCCUGGUGUAGCGGUGAAAUGCGCAGAUAUCAGGAGGAACACCGGUGGCGAAGGCGGGACUCUGGGCCGAUACUGACGCUGAGGAGCGAAAGCGUGGGGAGC
rnacentral:rRNA from 1 species